AUUGAACGCUGGCGGCAUGCUUUACACAUGCAAGUCGAGCGGCAGCACGGGGGCAACCCUGGUGGCGAGCGGCGAACGGGUGAGUAAUACAUCGGAACAUGCCCAGUCGUGGGGGAUAACACUUCGAAAGAAGUGCUAAUACCGCAUACGUCCUGAGGGAGAAAGCGGGGGAUCGCAAGACCUCGCGCGAUUGGAGUGGCCGAUGUCAGAUUAGCUAGUUGGUGGGGUAAAGGCCUACCAAGGCAACGAUCUGUAGCUGGUCUGAGAGGAUGAUCAGCCACACUGGGACUGAGACACGGCCCAGACUCCUACGGGAGGCAGCAGUGGGGAAUGUUGGACAAUGGGGGCAACCCUGAUCCAGCCAUUCCGCGUGAGUGAAGAAGGCCUUCGGGUUGUAAAGCUCUUUCGGCAGGAACGAAACGGCGAGCUCUAACAUAGCUUGCUAAUGACGGUACCUGAAGAAGAAGCACCGGCUAACUACGUG
rnacentral:rRNA from 1 species